GACGAACGCUGGCGGCGUGCUUAACACAUGCAAGUCGAACGGAAAGGCCCCUUUGGGGGUACUCGAGUGGCGAACGGGUGAGUAACACGUGAGUAACCUGCCCUUGACUUCGGGAUAACUUCAGGAAACUGGGGCUAAUACCGGAUAGGAAUCCUUGCUGCAUGGUGGGGGUUGGAAAGCUUCGGCGGUUUUGGAUGGACUCGCGGCUUAUCAGCUUGUUGGUGGGGUAGUGGCUUACCAAGGCUUUGACGGGUAGCCGGCCUGAGAGGGCGACCGGCCACAUUGGGACUGAGAUACGGCCCAGACUCCGACGGGAGGCAGCAGGGGGGAAUAUUGAACAAUGGGCGGAAGCCUGAUGCAGCAACGCCGCGUGCGGGAUGACGGCCUUCGGGUUGUAAACCGCUUUCAGCAGGGGCGAAGCUUGUGGUGACGGUACCUGCAGAAGAAGCACCGGCUAACUACGUG
rnacentral:rRNA from 1 species